AUGUCGUCUGUGUUUGCAGGUGUCCAGUGUCAGGAGCAGCUGAAGGAGCCCGGGGGAGCCCUAGUCACGCCUGGAGGAACCCUGACACUCACCUGCACAGCCUCUGGAUCCGACAUCAGUAGCUACAGCAUGGGCUGGGUCCGCCAGGCUCCAGGGAAGGGGCUGGAAUACAUCGGAUACAUUAGUUAUGGUGGUAGCACAUAUUACGCGAGCUGGGUGAAUGGUCGAUUCACCAUCUCCAAAACCUCGAGCACGGUGGAUCUGAAAAUGACCAGUCUGACAGCCGCGGACACGGCCACCUAUUUCUGUGCCAGAGAUACAGUGAGGGGCCCUCAGGCUGAGCCUAGACACAAAACGCCUGCAGGGGCGCGGCUCCACCAGGGGGCGCAUAAGAUCCACUGA